CGGGGGCCCAGGGUGGAGAGCACGAGGGCCUGGCCCAGGCACGGCCGGCGCCUCCGCCCUCGAGGAGGGCGUCACCUCAGCUCCCCCCGGCGGCGGAGCCGGCGGGCUCAGGCGGGCGCGGCUGAGGGGAGCGGACCGCGGGGGGCGGGAGAUGACUGCGCCCAAGGCCUUUGCGGGCCUCAGCCGGCCCCAGAGGAAGGGGAACCCGUCGAGCGGUUUGGUGCGUGUGAAGCGCGACAUGGCGAGGAAGCGGACAAGCCCGGGUGGCCCGGCGUGUAGAGGGAAGGGGGCGGGGCUAGACGCGGCCUGGACAACUACUAGAGCGCCUCGGGCUGUGCUGCUCGAGACUACAUUUCCCAGAGCGACGCGCGCGGAGCGGGCGGGAAAGAGAGCGUUUCGGGUCCAGUGCGCAGGUGCGAAAGCCAUCUUUGGUUAUAUAAGGGAGGUUCAGGAAGCCAUUCGUUCUUUCGCGUCUGCGGUGCCCGGAGUGUGGUACUUCUCCUAGUUGCAGUCAGGCUUCAUACGCUAUUGUCCUGCCCGUUAGAGCAGCCAGCGGGUACAGAAUGGAUUUUGGAAGAGGGAGUCACCACUGGACCUCCAAGGAAGCCACGUGCAGACAUCUACAACCUUCGAUCUCCUGACGAGUUUAUUGUUGGCCAAAACCAGGCUUUGAUUGAACCAGGAUGAAUGCGGGUGUUGGAAGUAGAAUAUAUAUAUACAUAUAAAAUUGGUUGGGAGCCACGUGUACCAGUGUGUGUUGAUCUUGGCUUGAUUCAGUCUGCCUUGUAACAGAAACUGGCGAUGGAAUAUGAGAGGAGCCCUCUGGAAAGAAAAGGACAGACCCUGUGCUUUCAUGAAAGUGAAGAUCUGGCUGAACCAGUUCCACAAGGUUACUGUAUACAUAGCCUGAGUUUAAAAGGCUGUGCCCACUUCAAGAAUGUCAUUGUUAGACUUUGAAAUUUCUAACUGCCUACCUGCAUAAAGAAAAUAAAAUCUUUUAAAUCAA
rnacentral:lncRNA from 1 species